rnacentral:rRNA from 1 species
UACGGGGGGGGGCAAGCGUUGUUCGGAAUUACUGGGCGUAAAGGGCUCGUAGGUGGCCAACUAAGUCAGACGUGAAAUCCCUCGGCUUAACCGGGGAACUGCGUCUGAUACUGGAUGGCUUGAGUUCGGGAGAGGGAUGCGGAAUUCCAGGUGUAGCGGUGAAAUGCGUAGAUAUCUGGAGGAACACCGGUGGCGAAGGCGGCAUCCUGGACCCGACACUGACACUGAGGAGCGAAAGCCAGGGGAGCAAACGGG